rnacentral:rRNA from 1 species
UACGUAGGGGGCAAGCGUUGUCCGGAAUCAUUGGGCGUAAAGAGCGUGUAGGCGGCCCAAUAAGUCCGCUGUGAAAGUCCAGGGCUCAACCCUGGGAUGCCGGUGGAUACUGUCGGGCUCGAGUCCGGAAGAGGAGUGUGGAAUUCCUGGUGUAGCGGUGAAAUGCGCAGAUAUCAGGAGGAACACCAAUGGCGAAGGCAGCACUCUGGGACGUGACUGACGCUGAGACGCGAAAGCGUGGGGAGCAAACAGG